AGAGUUUGAUCAUGGCUCAGAGCGAACGCUGGCGGCGGGCCUAAAACAUGCAAGUCGAACGGAUCCUUCGGGAUUAGUGGCGGACGGGUGAGUAACACGUGGGAACGUGCCUUUUGGUUCGGAACAACUCAGGGAAACUUGAGCUAAUACCGAAUGUGCCCUUCGGGGGAAAGAUUUAUCGCCAUUAGAGCGGCCCGCGUCUGAUUAGCUUGUUGGUGAGGUAAAGGCUCACCAAGGCGACGAUCAGUAGCUGGUCUGAGAGGAUGAUCAGCCACACUGGGACUGAGACACGGCCCAGACUCCUACGGGAGGCAGCAGUUAGGAAUCUUGCGCAAUGGGGGGAAACCCUGACGCAGCCAUGCCGCGUGAAUGAUGAAGGUCUUAGGAUUGUAAAAUUCUUUCAGCGGGGACGAUAAUGACGGUACCCGCAGAAGAAGCCCCGGCUAACUUCGUG
rnacentral:rRNA from 1 species